GCGCUUUUGCCUUGUGAAGGAGGAGACCGGAUUUCCAAGACGUUUUUUUGUUCACGCUUAUUUGUUUUUGAGUAUUUUGUAACUUAGUAUACUUUCCAGUUGACCGUGAAAGGCUUCUUGGCUUCAGCUUAUCUGGCAUUUGUGGUUUACUGAACACAAAAAGGACAAGACAACAAGUAAAGUUGUUUAUGCAUCUCGACGACAACUGACCAAAGUUCUCGGGAUGGUUAUUAUUGUAUUCAAUGUCUGUUGGCUUCCNUGGUUCUUCGUCG
rnacentral:misc_RNA from 1 species